rnacentral:rRNA from 1 species
AUGGACGCCGUCGCCUUCUCCCCCGCUCCGAGCCCCAACGCCGCGCCAUUCCCAUCCGCCUCCCGGUCCUCGCGCGGCCACCGCUUCUCCAUCCGCGGCCCGCGGCGGCGGCGCCCGCUCCCGGCCCUCCGAUCCAGCGCCUCCGCCUCCGCCCACGCCCCCGCCUCCCACCACGACGUGGUCGUCGUGGGCGCCGGGAUCGUCGGGCUCUCCAUCGCCCGCCACCUCCUCCUCCACACCCCGCUCUCCGUCGCCGUCGCCGACGCCGCAGUCCCCUGCUCCGGCGCCACCGGCGCAGGGCAGGGGUACGUGUGGAUGUCACACCGGACGCCCGGGAGCGACACGUGGGACCUGGCGGUGCGGAGCAAGCAGCUGUGGGAGGAGCUCGCGGCCGAGAUGGACGGCCUCCGCGCCGGCGGCGCGCGUGAGAGCCUCGGAUGGAUGAGGACAGGAAGCUUAUUGGUUGGAAGAACCUCUAAAGAGCUGGCUACGCUGGAGGAGAAGACUAAGGUUCUGUCUCAGGCAGGCAUCAAUGCGGAGUGCUUGUCUGCCUCUUCGUUGCAUGCAUUAGAACCCGCACUCUGUGUCGGAAACGAUGGUGGUGCUAUGUUCUUACCUGAUGACCGUCAGAUCGAUGCGUUCCAGGCCGUGUCUUUGAUUGAAAAGAUCAAUAGGUCAUAUACUCCAAAAGGGAGAUAUAUGGAGCUCUACAAUGAUCCUGCCAUGUCAUUGAUAAGAUCAGAGGUUACUGGAAGGGUUGAAGGUGUCCAAACUUCUAAGAACAUCUUAUAUGGCAGAAAAGCUACUGUAGUUGCUUCUGGUGCUUGGACUCGGUCCUUAUUGCAUAGUUUCUUAGGACCAAAUUCUUCACUGGAUAUUCCUGUGAAGCCACGAAAGGGUCAUCUGCUUGUGUUGGAAAAUUUUGACAUGCUAAAGCUGAAUCAUGGCAUAAUGGAGCUGGGAUAUGUUGACCAUCAGGGCGAUAAUUCACAUAGCAUACACUUGUCCUCAACAUCCAAUAAAGAUGAGCAUGACGCCGCAUCCAUAUCAAUGACAGCAACAUUAAAUACAAAAGGGCAUUUAGUUUUAGGAAGCAGCAGGGAGUUUAAAGGAUUUUCAAGGGAGGUUGAUAAAUCCAUACUGAAGAGUAUAUGGGACCGUGCAGGAGAAUUCUUUCCUGCCAUCAACAAUGUUCAUCUUGAUAUUGAUGAGGACAAAGAAAUCAGAAUUGGGCACCGUCCCUACAUGCCUGAUGGGAAGCCAGUAAUUGGAUUUGUUCCGGAUAUGUCAAAUGUUUUGAUUGCAACAGGACAUGAAGGAAGUGGACUUGCUUUGGCGCUAGGUACUGCUGAAAUGGUAACAGAUAUGAUUCUUGGUGACCCUGGAAGAGUGGACUUCACGCCUUUCUCCAUAGAAAAUAGAUUUUCAGGAACAGCAUGA